UUCGUUUUAGUUCUCUGCUUUCAUUUUCUCCGAGAGAUCUCAUUGGAAGAUGUCUCCAAUGGUGAGGGUCGUGCGCCACACCCUGGCGUACUCGGGCCGGAGGACAUCGCCCUACAUGCUGGUCCUUGGGAUGUUGCUCAUGCUCUCCAUUGCUCUCCUCAUGCUCCUCACCCUCGGCAUCGUCUCCCUUCCUGUUGGCUCCGAUGAAUCCUCCCUCGUUGGUUACUGCCCUCAUAGAUCCGCUGUCGAUACAUAAUGUUGUUUGAUAGGGAUGGAAUGGGGCAGAGAAAAGAGCCGUGGACUAAGGUUCUUUCUUGGGAACCGAGGGCUUUUAUCUACCAUAAUUUCUUGUUUUGAGGGUGAAGAUGCAAACUCAAACUGGUCGAUGUCAAAGGAUAGCCUGGGAGAUCGUUUGACCUGAUUUUUUUCAUGUAUGUAUGUAAAGAUGCAAACUCAAAUUGGUUGAUGUCAAAAAAAAACCUGGCGGGAUUGCUUGACCUGAUUUUUUCAUGUAUGUAAUUGUAUUACCUUAUUUUUUUUA